GGCGGCGUGCAUGAGACAUGCAAGUCGAACGGACAGUCGAGGCUUGCCUUGACUGUUAGUGGCGGACGGCUGAGUAACGCGUAGGUGACCUGCCCCGAAGUGGGGAAUAACUGCCCGAAAGGGUGGCUAAUACCGCAUGUGCCGGUGCGUUCAUUCACACCAGCAAAGCCGUAAGGCGCUUCGGGAGGGGCCUGCGUCCGAUUAGCUCGUUGGUGGGGUAACGGCUCACCAAGGCGACGAUCGGUAGGUGGUCUGAGAGGACGAUCACCCAGACUGGGACUGAGACACGGCCCAGACUCCUACGGGAGGCAGCAGUCGGGAAUUUUGCUCAAUGGGCGAAAGCCUGAAGCAGCAACGCCGCGUGAGGGAUGAAGGCCUUCGGGUUGUAAACCUCUUUUCUCAGGGACGAUAAUGACGGUACCUGAGGAAUAAGCCACGGCUAACUACGUGCCAGCAGCCGCGGUAAUACGUAGGUGGCAAGCGUUGUCCGGAUUUACUGGGCGUAAAGAGCGCGCAGGCGGUCGUGCAAGUCGCGUGUGAAAGCCCCCGGCUCAACUGGGGA
rnacentral:rRNA from 1 species